GGAACCCCUGCUUGGUAAGACUUUAGCCAAGUCGACAAUAGCGAGUCUUGGAUCUCCAAGAGUAAUUUUGUAGAUUAGCGUAGAUAGUCAGUUUUAGUAGGAUUGAAUGUGAUUGAGCCUCGAAAUGACUAAUAAUUUAGCUUGUAUACAGGUAUCUUUUCAACACUCGGAAAGGUGGUUUAAGUGGU
rfam:Novibacillus thermophilus strain SG-1, complete genome.